rnacentral:rRNA from 1 species
UGGGGAAUUUUGGACAAUGGGCGCAAGCCUGAUCCAGCCAUGCCGCGUGCAGGAUGAAGGCCUUCGGGUUGUAAACUGCUUUUGUACGGAACGAAACGGUCUGCCCUAAUACGGCGGGCUAAUGACAGUACCGUAAGAAUAAGCACCGGCUAACUACGUGCCAGCAGCCGCGGUAAUACGUAGGGUGCGAGCGUUAAUCGGAAUUACUGGGCGUAAAGCGUGCGCAGGCGGUUAUGUAAGACAGUUGUGAAAUCCCCGGGCUCAACCUGGGAACUGCAUCUGUGACUGCAUCGCUGGAGUGCGGCAGAAGGGGAUGGAAUUCCGCGUGUAGCAGUGAAAUGCGUAGAUAUGCGGAGGAACACCGAUUGCGAAGGCAAUCCCCUGGGCCUGCACUGACGCUCAUGCACGAAAGCGUGGGGAGCAAACA